rnacentral:rRNA from 1 species
GAUGAACGCUGGCGGCGUGCUUAACACAUGCAAGUCGAACGAGAAAUGAUAUUACGAUCUCUUCGGAGUGACAGUUUUAUUUCGAGUGGCGGACGGGUGAGUAACGCGUGAGCAACCUGCCCUGUACCGGGGGAUACCAGUUGGAAACGACUGUUAAUACCGCAUAAGCGCACGAUAAGACAUCUUGUUGUGUGAAAAACUCCGGUGGUAUAGGAUGGGCUCGCGUAUGAUUAGCCAGUUGGCGGGGUAAAGGCCCACCAAAGCGACGAUCAUUAGCCGACCUGAGAGGGCGACCGGCCACAUUGGGACUGAGACACGGCCCAAACUCCUACGGGAGGCAGCAGUGGGGAAUAUUGCACAAUGGGCGAAAGCCUGAUGCAGCGACGCCGCGUGAGUGAGGAAGUAUUUCGGUAUGUAAAGCUCUAUCAGCAGGGAAGAAAGAAAUGACGGACCUGAGAAGAGUCCG